AACAGAAGCCACUGGGAGCAGCCAGCUGAAUGGUAGCCUACUGAAGAUCAAAAUCAUACCUUCCUUUGCUAAAUGUGGAGAGGAGAAAUGGAUUAACUAGGGAGCGCUUUGUACAGUGCUCUAGACACAGUAAACCCCCAGUAAAGACCAUUGAUGACGAUAAUGCCGAGACCUUCAUGAGGAUCAUCAUGCAGAUAUCUUCACUGAUGAGACGAUGAUGGGGCAAGCGUCCACCAACUCUGUUCUACCGUUCUCUCCCAAGCGCCUAGUAAAGUGAUCAGCGCACGGUAAGUACCUAAUAAAUAUGACUGAUUGAUCUUCUAACCCACAGAAUUUAUUAUUAAUAUUAUUAUAAUUCUUAAUAAUAUUUGGCACCAGUCCACGUGGUCUCUCCCGGUCAGCCCU
rnacentral:lncRNA from 1 species